rnacentral:rRNA from 1 species
UGAAGAGGGAAACAACCCAGACCGCCAGCUAAGGUCCCAAAGUCAUGGUUAAGUGGGAAACGAUGUGGGAAGGCCCAGACAGCCAGGAUGUUGGCUUAGAAGCAGCCAUCAUUUAAAGAAAGCGUAAUAGCUCACUGGUCGAGUCGGCCUGCGCGGAAGAUGUAACGGGGCUAAACCAUGCACCGAAGCUGCGGCAGCGACACUGUGUGUUGUUGGGUAGGGGAGCGUUCUGUAAGCCUGUGAAGGUGUGUCGUGAGGCAUGCUGGAGGUAUCAGAAGUGCGAAUGCUGACAUAAGUAACGAUAAAGCGGGUGAAAAGCCCGCUCGCCGGAAGACCAAGGGUUCCUGUCCAACGUUAAUCGGGGCAGGGUGAGUCGACCCCUAAGGCGAGGCCGAAAGGCGUAGUCGAUGGGAAACGGGUUAAUAUUCCCGUACUUGGUGUUACUGCGAAGGGGGGACGGAGAAGGCUAUGUUGGCCGGGCGACGGUUGUCCCGGUUUAAGCGUGUAGGUGUGUGUUCCAGGUAAAUCCGGUUCACUUUAACACUGAGGCGUGAUGACGAGGCACUACGGUGCUGAAGCAACAAAUGCCCUGCUUCCAGGAAAAGCCUCUAAGCAUCAGGUAACAUCAAAUCGUACCCCAAACCGACACAGGUGGUCAGGUAGAGAAUACCAAGGCGCUUGAGAGAACUCGGGUGAAGGAACUAGGCAAAAUGGUGCCGUAACUUCGGGAG